AGAUGCCCGAUUUCUUACAAAACUUUUGUCUAUCUCUAAGAAAAGUAUUAGUGAGAACGCCGUUUUAAAUCACUCGAUGACAACUGGAAAGAUUGGUUUGCCAUUAGACGACAAACAACAAUUUCUUAAAAACUCAAGAGGGACUGUGAAGCUUUUUUUCGGCAGCUACACAGUUAGCAGUAUCCCAUCAGUCCAGCGGCUCGUUGAAGCUCACCCUGGAGAGGAAUUCCUCACAGAAACACCACAAUCACAAUCUGGACUUCAGAUUGAGUCAUACUUAAAGAAGAAAGAUGGCACGGUUAAACCAACAACUCUGAAACACCAUGAUCAGAGCAGUCAUUCAGUUGUAGGCAUGAAUCAUACCUUUUUCACUACAAUUUCGCACAAGAUUGUUUCAAGCCCAAUUCACAGUGCUGUUUCCCCUGUUGCUCUCUUAAAAACAGAGUUUAAAAAACAUUUGACCUUCUCUGCUUCACCGUCAGUAUCUAUUGCGCGAACAAUGACACAGACAAUUGGACUUGAUAACCACAAAGAUUCACUUCAUAUGUUUGUAAAUUUAUUAAAAAUGUUAAAUUGCAUCUUCGGAACAUGACAUCCAGCCCAAUUUCUGGCAUCAGUAGGCACACAACAGCUGCAGCACGACCAGAAGGGGCUUAAAACAUGUCACCCCUUGAAUCAUUCACUGGAAUAACUUCACCAACUUUCAUUUUGCAUCUUAUUCAAAUGCAGAAUGUGUUGCAUAAAGAGCAUGUGAACUUAACUGAAAACCAGACUGAAUUUUUCUCAACAGUAAAUGAGCAUUCACAAACGACACAAUCAAACUUUCCUUCUGACGAAAUGUCCAGUUCAGGCGCAACAGAAGUUGUACAAAAACACCUUGGGCGGACUGCGCAGUCGGCUGUUACUGGGAAAAAGUUCUCUCCUAUUGUCCACACGGAUUUGAGUUUCUCAAGUACAGAGACACAAUCGCUCCCCAGAGGUUCAUUACAGUCCAGGGAAGGGAGUGAAGAUAUUUCACAUGACACCACUCCAUUUGCUGAAAGUGACUCAGGGGUAUCUGCUGGGUUUGUGUCAGACCUGCCAGUGAUAAACAGGAAGAGGAGGAUUAUAUCACCCGAUUCUCUCAGCGGACUGGCGCAAAUCUCAGAUGAUAUCUGCGGCACUGGCAACUACACAGCAGAGAUGAGUCUGAACUUGGAGAGAGAUAUCAUGCCUGGAGAUCUCAUCCCUGCCCUCGGAAACCUAUGUGUCGUCAUCAUCCUCAAAACAAAUAACAGCCAGGUGAACCUAGAGAUAAAAUCCUGCUGCCUCUCGCCCACCAUCAGACUUGAUGAAUUUAACACCACCUGCUGCAUUUUUUCCAGCAGUGCGUUCAGAGUCGAAUUGCACAUCUCAGAGAGGAAGCAGGGGCCAUCUUCAGCAGCACGGGACACCGUUCUUUCGGCCCUGUUCUGAAAGAAGCAGACAAUUCAUCAUUCCCUGAAACAGCAGAUGACACUGAAGCCAUGGUGGUGAUAAUCAGCUCAGUGGCCGGCUGUUUGCUGGCAUGUUUGGCUCUCUUUCUUGUCUGGAUAGCAAACAGAUGUUGUCUGCAAAGGUCUGCCUACUGCUGGUCCAGGGCCUUCUGUGAAUGCUAACAGAACACAGUUUACUGCAAACCAGCCAACCAGACUAAAAUCUGCAUUGAGCACUCAAUCAUUAUCUGACAGAUUUUGAAUUGCUCAUCAUUUUCAUUUUUGGGUUUUCUUGAAACCACUGCCUAGUUUCUUUGCUGAUUUUAGAUUUACCAUUCUUCAGUGUAGGAGAUACUGACAUCAAAGAUAUGUAUGAAUGCUUCUCUGUAU
ensembl:lncRNA